rnacentral:precursor_RNA from 15 species
AAUCGUAGCGAAAAUGCGAAUAAGUGAAUAAAGAGAGCUGUCCGUCGACAGUCCAGUAAAGAUUGUAAAACUGUCAUGGAAUUGCUCUCUUUGUAUGAUAUUCGACGUUGCCCAAACUAACCC